GAUGAACGCUAGCGGCAGGCCUAAUACAUGCAAGUCGGACGGGAUUCAGGAGCUUGCUUCUGAUGAGAGUGGCGCACGGGUGCGUAACACGUAUGUAACCUACCUUUAUCAGGGGGAUAGCCUCUCGAAAGAGAGAUUAAGCCCGCAUAAAAUCACAGCACAGCAUUGUGUAAUGAUCAAAUAUUUAUAGGAUAAAGAUGGGCAUGCGGAACAUUAGCUAGAUGGCGGGGUAACGGCCCACCAUGGCGACGAUGUUUAGGGGAUCUGAGAGGAUGGCCCCCCACACUGGUACUGAGACACGGACCAGACUCCUACGGGAGGCAGCAGUAAGGAAUAUUGGUCAAUGGGCGGAAGCCUGAACCAGCCAUGCCGCGUGCAGGAAGACGGCCCUACGGGUUGUAAACUGCUUUUAUACGGGAAUAAACCCAGAUACGUGUAUCUGGCUGAAUGUACUGUAAGAAUAAGGAUCGGCUAACUCUGUG
rnacentral:rRNA from 1 species